GACGAACGCUGGCGGCGUGCUUAACACAUGCAAGUCGAACGGAAAGGCCCUGCUUUUGUGGGGUUCUCGAGUGGCGAACGGGUGAGUAACACGUGAGUAACCUGCCCUUGACUUUGGGAUAACUUCAGGAAACUGGGGCUAAUACCGGAUAUGAGCUCCUGCUGCAUGGUGGGGGUUGGAAAGUUUCGGCGGUUGGGGAUGGACUCGCGGCUUAUCAGCUUGUUGGUGGGGUAGUGGCUUACCAAGGCUUUGACGGGUAGCCGGCCUGAGAGGGUGACCGGCCACAUUGGGACUGAGAGACGGACCAGACUCCUACGGGAGGCAGCAGUGGGGAAUAUUGCAGAAUGGGCGGAAGUCUGAGGCAGCAACGCCGCGUGCGGGAUGACGGCCUUCGGGUUGUAAACCGAUUUCGCCUGUGACGAAGCGUGAGUGACGGUAAUGGGUAAAGAAGCAACGGCUAACUACGUG
rnacentral:rRNA from 1 species